rnacentral:lncRNA from 1 species
AUGGCCUUGCACACCUCUGAGCAACUGGUUUGAGCAUAAAAUAAUUGAGCCAGAAAUGGGCUGCCUGAAUAAUCAAAACCUUGAAGGAAUUUAAUCACAUGUCUGCUGUCUUCUGAACAUAGCUUAAUUCUACACAUUCACUGCUUUCUGUAAUAACUGCUUUAUGCAAGUCUCAAAGCUUUCAUUGUUCUGCCUUAAAACUCUAGGUAAUCUGCCUCUUUCCAUACAUAAAAUAUUAUGUCCUCUAUUCCUCAGGUUACCUGGACUCUGUAACCUGUGAUUCUAUGUUACCAAGCUGCAGAUUAUCCUCUCAUACUAAAAUAAGAGGCUGGUGUAUGUCACAUGCUGAACCCUAUGUGCAAGUGUCUGAAUAAAUCUUUUGUCGCCUUAAUUACAGCCUUACAGAGCUCAUGGCCAUCAGACAAAGGCAUAUAUACUUCAGGGAUACAGAUCCAUUCAAGGCUUCUGAUGCAGAAUUUUCAAGAUUAAAGCCCCUGCUUUCCAACUGUUGACACACCAAAGGGGAGUUUUCUAAUCAGCCAGAUAUUAUAAAUCCAAC